rnacentral:rRNA from 1 species
ACGGAGGAUGCAAGCGUUAUCCGGAUUCAUUGGGUUUAAAGGGUGCGUAGGCGGUUAUUUAAGUCAGUGGUGAAAUGCUGUCGCUCAACGAUAGAAUUGCCAUUGAUACUGAGGAACUUGAGUUCAGUUGAAGUAGGCGGAAUGUGUAGUGUAGCGGUGAAAUGCUUAGAUAUUACACAGAACACCGAUUGCGAAGGCAGCUUACUAAACUGUUACUGACGCUGAUGCACGAAAGCGUGGGGAUCGAACAG